rnacentral:rRNA from 1 species
AGAGCUAGCGUUGAUCCUGGCAGUCUUCGGAUUGCUAGUCUGUUGGCAGUUCUUGUCCAUGUGAGUGUGGCCAUUGCCCAUAUAGGGUGCAAGGCCCAUAGAACAGCCCGUUCUACCGGUUAGCCCUGCCUUGGAGUCGGGUUGCUUGAGAGUGCAGCCCAAAGUUGGAGGUAAACCCCUCCUAAGGCUAUAAUAUGACUGCGAGACCGAUAGUAAACAAGUACCGUGAGGGAAAGUUGAAAAGAACUUAGAGGUGAGAGUUCAACAGGGCGUAAAACCGCUUAGAAGCAAACGGAUGGUGCUGACUUUGUUUCUGCCGGAUUCAAACGGUCUGAUGGUUGAUCGCUUGUACGCCGAUCGAAAGACGGUGUGCAGGGUGCACUCGGCCUAAGACUGUUGCAUUUUCGGUAGAAUGCAUCAUGACCGUUGAUGUCGCUGGCAUAAGACCGGCUUGUUGCCGACUGUAGGUUUUCGGACUUGCAGUGCCCCACUAGCCGUGUUCUGUCCGAGUUGGCGUCAGCGGGUAACUGGACGUGCCCGAUUCUUCUCGCCUGGUGCCGUCUCUUGGCUGAAUGACUCGUUUAACUGUGCUUGCACGGCGGAACAACCCUCAGUCAUCUGUGCGGUAUCUGUGCGAGUUGGCACUGAAGGUCAAUGGUGUCCGCGUCAGUCUCCCAUCCGACCCGUCUUGAAACACGGACCAAGGAGUCUAACAUGUGCGCAAGUCAUGGGGUGGAAAACCCAAAGGCGAAAUGAAGGUAAAGGCCGCAAGGCUGAGGUGUGAUGUUCAGUUUUAACUGGACCGCAACACCGUCCCAUCGCAUUGGCUCGUCCAAGCGGUGGAGAAAGAGCGUACACGUUGGGACCCGAAAGAUGGUGAACUAUGCCUGAGCAAGAUGAAGCCAGAGGAAACUCUGGUGGAGGUCUGUAGCGGUUCUGACGUGCAAAUCGAUCGUCAGACU